GUAGCGAAAUUCCUUGUCGGGUAAGUUCCGACCUGCACGAAUGGCGUAACGAUGGCCACACUGUCUCCUCCAGAGACUCAGCGAAGUUGAAAUGUUUGUGAUGAUGCAAUCUCCCCGCGGAAAGACGGAAAGACCCCAUGAACCUUUACUGUAGCUUUGUAUUGGACUUUGAACAGAUCUGUGUAGGAUAGGUGGGAGGCUUUGAAGUGCGGUCGCUAGAUCGCAUGGAGCCAACGUUGAAAUACCACCCUGGUGUGUUUGAGGUUCUAACCUAGGCCCAUUAUCUGGGUCGGGGACAGUGCAUGGUAGGCAGUUUGACUGGGGCGGUCUCCUCCCAAAGUGUAACGGAGGAGUUCGAAGGUACGCUAGUUACGGUCGGACAUCGUGACGAUAGUGCAAUGGCAUAAGCGUGCUUAACUGCGAGACUGACAAGUCGAGCAGAUGCGAAAGCAGGACAUAGUGAUCCGGUGGUUCUGUAUGGAAGGGCCAUCGCUCAACGGAUAAAAGGUACUCCGGGGAUAACAGGCUGAUACCGCCCAAGAGUUCAUAUCGACGGCGGUGUUUGGCACCUCGAUGUCGGCUCAUCACAUCCUGGGGCUGUAGCCGGUCCCAAGGGUAUGGCUGUUCGCCAUUUAAAGAGGUACGUGAGCUGGGUUUAGAACGUCGUGAGACAGUUCGGUCCCUAUCUGCCAUGGGCGUUGGAGAUUUGAGAGGGGCUGCUCCUAGUACGAGAGGACCGGAGUGGACGCACCGCUGGUGUACCUGUUGUCACGCCCGUGGCAUCGCAGGGUAGCUAAGUGCGGAAGAGAUAACCGCUGAAAGCAUCUAAGCGGGAAACUCGUUUCAAGAUGAGAUCUGCCGGGGCCUUGAGCCCCCUAAAGAGUCGUUCUAGACCAGGACGUUGAUAGGCUGGGUGUGGAAGUGCAGUAAUGCAUUAAGCUAACCAGUACUAAUUGCUCGUGCGGCUU
rnacentral:rRNA from 1 species